AGCAAGCAGUUUUAGAGAUGGGUAGCAUGGAUAAGGAAACCAUAGACAAGACAGGCUAAAUAAUAGCCGGGUGCAGCUGUGUAAGCCGUAGUUUCGGCAACUUUGGUGGCUGAGACAGGAUCGCAUGGACCCUGGAGUUCAAGGACUCAGCUUGUGGGGUGUGUGUGUAGGGACACGCUGUGCUGAUUGUGGGCUGUGAAGAUCCCUCCAUAAGACCUUCCGAGAAAGAGUGUUUUGCCUCUGUACGUCUGUGCACCAGAUGCACACGUGCAUGCAGUGCCUACAGAGGCCAGAAGAGGGAGGCAGGUCUCCUGAAACUGGAGUUAAAGACAAUUGUGAGCACCACUUAAGUGCUAGGAAUGGAACCCAGGUUUUCUGGAAGAGCCGCCAGUGCUCUUAGCCACUGAGCCAUCUCCUCAGACCCAAAAGAACUUUUAAAAAUGAUUUAGAAGAUAGUUUGUCAAGUACGUUGAUGCUUAAGAGAGAAGACUGUGUCUGGAGUGCGUGGUCUCCCCUUUCCUACCCCUCCCCCCUUUCCUUAUUCAAGGGACUCGCAGCUCAGUAUCCUCCGAUUACUGCAAACUCGAGGUGGCUUUAAACAACACAGUCUCAGGACUGUUGAGGAUGGAAGUCUGAUGCCAAGACGUCAACAGGGCCAAACUCUGUCUGAAGGUUCUAGACAAGCACCGACUCCUUUUCCAUCUUGAUGGUCACCCACAUUCCCUAAGUAUCUCCGCCUCUCUCAGCAGCAUGCACCAUGUGAGUCUGGGGCCAAGUCCCACUGUUUAUUAUAGGAACAUCACUCAGGACCAAGAGCUCUCUGGUAACAAGACUAUGUCAAAGCAAACAAAUUUAUCAUCCAAAUAUCUCCAGAAGGUUCCAGAAAGAACUGAACUUCACAACAAUUAACUUCAUAAAAGUAACUGCUAUUGAGACCAUUAACUAUGACAGCACAUUAAAUAUUGACUACCAAGUCUUCCUUGCUAUAAAUAUUUUAUAUAAAUGACAGAGUAAAUCUCCUUUAUAAAUAAUAACAUCAUGACAAUUUGUAAUCUUAUUCGUCAGUGUCUAGAGACCAGAAAGAGGCAUUCAAAUUAUUUUUUUUAAAUUAUAGUUCAGAAGGUUUUUACAGAAAAAAAGUAAAAUAAUUUAAAUAUUGGUUUUC
rnacentral:lncRNA from 1 species